GACGAACCGUCCUAACGUUGUUCGGAAUCACUGGGCUUAAAGGGCGCGUAGGCGGCUUGCCAAGUCAGGGGUGAAAUCCUGCAGCUUAACUGUAGAAGGGCCUUUGAUACUGGCGAGCUCGAGGGAGGUAGGGGUAUGUGGAACUUCCGGUGGAGCGGCGAAAUGCGUUGAUAUCGAUAGGAACUCCGGUGGCGAAGGCGGCAUACUGGACCACAUCUGACGCUGAGGCGCGAAAGCCAGGGGAGCAAACGGG
rnacentral:rRNA from 1 species